CCCUCAGAGAUGAUGAGGUGGAUAGGAUGGAAGUGGAAGUGCCGCGAGGCAUGGAGCGGACCAUUACUAAUCGGUCGAGGACUUAACCA
rnacentral:rRNA from 1 species